ACAUUCAGCAGUAUUUGACUUUGUUACAUUUACCUGAUAUAACAAAGUAAAUGCUGGAGCUAAAAAAAAAAAAAAAAGACAUGCAAAACAGCUGGAAUAAAACACAUUAGUUGAGCAAGUGAGAUGUGAUGGGACAUGGAGUGAGCCAUAUUAGUUUGAUGAGGGCAUGUAUGGUUGGAGGUUUGGUGCAUACAGGCCUGGCACAGGUUUCUCCCAGAUGACAGAGGAUCUGGCUUUUUGACAGCAGCCAUUGGUGAGCCGCCGGUCACCGUCUGUUGGCCAGGACGAACAGAAGGCCUUGGAGAUGCUGAGGACGGUCGUCCUGGAGACUCCUGCAACACAGACGACAGCGCAAGACUGUGACCACAAACAAAUGGCAUAGUUUGUGUGUACAGUCGAAAAACUGAUACAGUCCAGGGAAAAAAGUAAUAAAUCUAUAGAUUACUGAGGAACAUUAAGACACUUACGGUUGCUCCUCUUGUUGGAGUGGCCGGCUGCUUUGCUAAUAAAGACUGGAAAGAGCAAAA